GGGGAAUCUUCCGCAAUGGACGAAAGUCUGACGGAGCAACGCCGCGUGAGUGAUGACGGCCUUCGGGUUGUAAAGCUCUGUUAAUCGGGACGAAUGGUUCUUGUACGAAUAGUGCGAGGAUUUGACGGUACCGGAAUAGAAAGCCACGGCUAACUACGUGCCAGCAGCCGCGGUAAUACGUAGGUGGCAAGCGUUGUCCGGAAUUAUUGGGCGUAAAGCGCGCGCAGGCGGAUUGGUCAGUCUGUCUUAAAAGUUCGGGGCUUAACCCCGUGAUGGGAUGGAAACUGCCAAUCUAGAGUAUCGGAGAGGAAAGUGGAAUUCCUAGUGUAGCGGUGAAAUGCGUAGAUAUUAGGAAGAACACCAGUGGCGAAGGCGACUUUCUGGACGAAAACUGACGCUGAGGCGCGAAAGCCAGGGGAGCGAACGGGAUUAGAUACCCCGGUAGUCCUGGCCGUAAACGAUGGGUACUAGGUGUAGGAGGUAUCGACCCCUUCUGUGCCGGAGUUAACGCAAUAAGUACCCCGCCUGGGGAGUACGACCGCAAGGUUG
rnacentral:rRNA from 1 species